rnacentral:lncRNA from 1 species
UUGUCAGAUGGAGAACUCUUGUCAGCCACCUGUGCCAUCAGUAGCUCUACAGGGCUCCAUUCCAUGGGCUUCAAAUCACCAAGAGGGAGACUACUGCAAUUUCAGCUACAAUAGUCUGAUGGAUAAAUCCCUUAUCCCAUCCCGUUUGCUUAAUCCAGGAUUCUGAAAAAUGUUCACGUAUCAGAAAAGUGCCAUAAUAAGUUUGCACUGGUGUGCGUGGAUAGCCUUUGGUCUCGAAAAUUACUCUGCUAAAAAAGACUGCAUGUGA